rnacentral:misc_RNA from 1 species
UCAGCUUUUUGUCUAAAUACUAUGGCUUCCGUACGUUUUCCCAAUUCCGAGGAAAUAUGUCGAAAUUGCAACCAUCCUAUUGCAGGAUGCUGACCUCAAAUGUUGGAAUGCAAUUCUUGUCUUUUUUACGUGCAUCGAACCUGCUUGCCAGGAAAAGGUACCAGCAGUACUGAAUAUGUGCGUUUGAAAAAGCAAAAGGAAGCUUUCCAUUUCAAAUGUAAUCCGUGUAGUAAUGUAGAAGAAUUUGUACAUUUGUGUAUUGGAAAUGGACGUGAUAUUGAUCAACCUGUAGCUUCAUCAUCAUUUGUGGCGGCUGAUGUUGAUCAACAUGUAGCUUCAUCAAGUCGUGGCCGUGGCCGACCAAGAGCCGUUGUGGCCGAUGUUAGUGAUCAACCUCCAUCUUCAUCAAGUCGUGGCCGUGGCCGACCAAGAGCCGUUGGGGCCAAUGUUAUUAUCAACCUCCAUCUUCAUCAAGUCGUGGCCGUGGCCGACCAAGAGCCGUUGUGGCCGAUGUUAGUGAUCAACCUGUAGCUUCAUCAAGUCGUGGCCGUGGCCGACCAAGAGCCGUUGUGGCCGAUGUUAGUGAUCAACCUGUAGUUCCAUCAAGUCGUGGCCGUGGCCGACCAAGAGCCGUGGUGGUGGCCGAUGUAAGUGAUCAACCUGUAGCUUCAUCAAGUCUUGGCCGCGGCCGUGGACAUGGACGAAAUGUUGAACGCCACCUGAUCCUAUGCCAACAAUUGAUCAACCGGCAUCUUAUUCAAGCCGUGGCCGUGGAAGUCAUACAGUGUCACCAGUUACUACUAUUGCGUCACUCACAGUAAAUAUCGUGUUACCUUUUUCAGCAAGUUCACCGAGGACUUACCCCUUGAAUUGCCGAUUGCAAUGAACUUCACUUGUCCUCAGGAUUUAAUAUCCCCCAUCGUAGCUGGAAUUAAGGUAACAUCGUUCUGCCAAAUAUAAGUUCUGAAUCUUCUGGCUUGUUUAACCAAGCCGUGGCUCACAACUUGCUGAUUGGAGUAGCCGAUACGAUAUUCCUAUCCAAACAACUGAGACAACUGUGCAGAUCUUUUAUCCUGAUCUUUUAUCCUUUUGCAUUUAUGUUGAAAACACCUGGAUUAAUAGCUCUAUCUGCCCCCCCCCCGAAAAUUGGUCUAUGUUUAUGCAAAUGCGCAGAACCAACAACCAUGUAGAAGGAUUCCAUAACUCCCUCCGUGUUCUUGUUAACUCCAACUCCCCAAAUCUCGUAAAAUUUAUUGGAAUAGUGCGUUCAGAGGCAGAAUCCAUUGCUUUACAGGCCAAACUAUUAUCUCAAAAUGAAGCUUUGAGUAACUUACGCAAAGACACUCUAGAAAUGCAGCACUGUCUUUCCACAUUUUGGCAGGAUUAUAAUGAUCAACGGAUUGGUUCAGAAAAACUUCUUCAACUAUGCGCUGUUCUUUUCGCUAAGCAUAAUAGGAAUAAAUUUAGGGCGUUGAUUGAUGACCAAGUAUGGGGCCGAAAUGUUUGGGUCCGAAACGAAGGGAUACCAAAACAGAACACCAUUUUUCUAUGCAACGGAUGGACUAAAUUUUUUGAAAGACGCACUAGUGAAAAGGAAAUUCAUUUUUCUUUCAGAAUUACUGUAAUUUUAUUCAAUCUAUUGAGUGUAAGUGAAGAUACAAUCAAAAAUGUAAAGAUGUAUUUUUUUCGAUCUUUUUUGGUCGUUUACCUGGCAACAGAUGGCUGUACCAUUUAACCCGGACCGAAACAACAUCAA